rnacentral:rRNA from 1 species
GACGAACGCUGGCGGCGUGCUUAACACAUGCAAGUCGAACGAAGAGCGACGGAGGCUUGCUUCUAUCAAUCUUAGUGGCGAACGGGUGAGUAACGCGUAAUCAACCUGCCCUUCAGAGGGGGACAACAGUUGGAAACGACUGCUAAUACCGCAUACGAUCUAACCUCGGCAUCGAGGAUAGAUGAAAGGUGGCCUCUACAUGUAAGCAAUCACUGAAGGAGGGGAUUGCGGCUGAUUAGGUAGUUGGAGGGGUAACGGCCUACCAAGGCGAUGAUCAGUAGCCGGUCUGGGAGGAUGGACGGCCACAUUGGGACUGGGACACGGCCCAGACUCCUACGGGAGGCAGCAGUGGGGAAUCUUCCGCAAUGGACGAAAGUCUGACGGAGCAACGCCGCGUGAGUGAUGACGGCCUUCGGGUUGGAAAGCUCUGUUAAUCGGGACGAAAGGCCUUCUUGCGAAUAGUGAGAAGGAUUGACGGUACCGGAACAGAAAGCCACGGCUAACUACGUG